GGAGCCGAGGAGUGCUCCUGCUCAGUUGAGGCAGAGGAAAGAAAAUCUUAGGGCGCACCGAGUCGUAGGAAAGGGAGAUAACCAUUUACAGGCUCCAGUAUGAACAAUGUGAAGCUAUUUCCCUUUGCUUGGACACAAGGAGAGUCCCCUGGCAACACACACACACACACACUUACACACACACACCAAACUUUUGUCCUCCUAUGACUCCCCUCCUUGUCCCCCAUCCUCCCCCUGAUGCACAACCUCUGGAGGUAAGGGCCUUAGCUUGUGUGAGUGUGUGUGUGUGAGUGUGUGAGCUUGUACCGUCUCUCUGUCUCUCCCCCAGCAGAAGCGGACACGCCGUCUCCCCAGCUUCCGUUUUCCUCUGCACGCCCGCUGCUGGAGUAUUCACGCUUCAGGCUGUUUUCUUUGAGAGAGAGACACAGAGAGACAGACAGAGAGUAUAAAAAUAUGCAAAUGCUAUUGUUGAAGCGCAGAACGAAGAGGGGGGGGGGCUUCUUUUACACCCCCUCACCUCCCUGCUGCUGCUGCUGCCACCGUUGCCACUUCCGCCUCCAUCCAUCCAUCCAUCCAUCCAUCCAUCCAUCCAUCCACUACAUGGAGAGAGGAGGAGGAGGGGGGGCUUCAGGUCUGAGAGGGGGAGACAACACGGGCAGGAUAUUGAAAAUAUGCUGAAAGGCCACUAUUGUCUGUUUCAGUUGAGGCCUAUUCUCUGGACCCAAUUGUAGAAUUCAGACACACACACACACACACACACACACACACACACACACACACACACGUGCAGCUAUUGAGAUAAUGAAAUCCAUCACACAACCCACAAGGCCAGACCUACAAAUGUCUCAAAGAGAGGGAGAAGACAGAGUGAAGCAGCAGCCUUCAUCAUGUACAGUACUGUAUACUGUACAUUAUAAUGUAUGCAUAUGACUAAACACACUGCUCUGACAGCACUGCAUGCUAACAGUCUUAGCAAUUAAUGUUACGUGAAUUGAAAUGAUGGAUAAGAGAAAAACAGAAGGGACAAACUGGCUGGUUAGACAUCGGCUCAGGUUUAAGGUGAGGUUAUGUGACAUCAUCACUCCACAUCCUAAUAACAUAGAUGUAAGAUCAUCAGAGUAUUAUCACCAAGGGACAGUUCACUUCCAAACUAAGAAUAAAUUUUUUUAAUCUUACCUGUAGUGCUAUGUAUCAGUCUAGAUUGUUUUGGUGUGAGUUGCUGAGUGUUGCAGAUAUUGGCUGUGGAGAUGUCUGCCCUCUCUCCAAUAUAUUGUACCAAAUCUUCGACUUGUGGUGCUCAAAGCACCAAAAAUGUACUUUUGAAAACUCAACAGUAAUGUCUCUUUCCAGAAAUUAUUACCUGGUUACUCAAGAUAAUCCACAGAGCUUGUUGUGAGCAGUUUGAUGUAUGAACUAUUUCUUUUUAACGUACUAUACCUGCCAACCGUAUCACUGCGCAGACCACACAUUCUCACUCCCAACAACAUCUAACUAUGACGCUCUGGGUACCAGUUUAACAUCCUUUUUGGACACUCCGAUACUCAUCAUGCAUUGUGUCUUUUCAGAAUAAACCUCCAUUUUACAAAUAAAUUCUGUCUCUUUUUUUAUUUUCAUUUAACCCCUUAUUUUAACCAGUUAAGUUUCGUUGAGAUCAGCAGCCUCUUUUACAAGGGAGCUCUGGCCAAGACAGCAGCACACAAAAAAGUUACAGCCAAACAACCACACAAUAAAAAACACAAAAGAUACACAUUAUCAUGCAGAAAUGUUAGAACACAUAUGCACAAUGACAAACUCUUUUAAAGUAAACUCAAAAUGUAGGUGAAAAACUUUGUUUUUGGUUUAUUUCCUUAGGUAUUGGGCAACAAAAACACAUGGGUAGGCCUAGAAAAAAACAAAAACAAAUGUUUUUCUUAAAAUAAGAAUGUUUGUCACUAAUCUAAUAUAAUGUGACAUGCUACACAUACUAGCCCACUACGUUGUUUUUAAAAUAACUAUUGACAUUUGGAUUCACAUGGGACACAAACAGAGGUCUCCUGAGUAGAAGUUCAGAGUUAGUUUGACCCAUCCAUGCCCCCUCCCUCCUGCCCUAUGUGGACUUUUGCCCUCUUUAUACGAUGGCAGUUGCCUUGGUGGGUCACUUUCUGAUGCCACUGACCAAGUGUCUGUAUUUGACAGGUUGGGAGUGAGACUGGGUUGGCAAAAGGAAGUGUGCAUCUACUCAUAAAUGAGAGGCUUGUGCUCAUGACAGUGCAAGAUGUAAACAUUAACAGCAUCCUCCUUGGCUGAGCUGUAAUGCUACCUAUUUCAGUGGUUCUAGGUGAGCUAGCAGUAGAUGCACGCUUCCUUCUGAUCUGUGAUACACUUGGGUGUUGUAGCUUAAUAGACAGAAAAUAGUUCCUCCAUAAAACUGCUCACAAUAAGGUCUGUGGAUUAUCUUGAGUAACCAGGUCAUGAUUUCUGCAAAGAGACAUUGCUGUUGAGUUUGUAUUUUUUGCCAUCUAGUUCCAUUAUUUUGGAGAUAAGGCAGACAUCUUUACGGCUGAUAUCUCCAACACUUGGCAACUCACACCAAAACAAUCUAGACUGAUAAAUAGCACUACAGGUAAGAGGAAAAGUUUUGGUUUUGGGUGAACUGUCUCUUUAAGUAUCAAAAGUUAAUAGUGUAUUGUUACUAAUGCUUGAACAAGUGAGCAGCAUUCUAUUGUUGUAACAAGUAUAUGUAGCAACUUUAUAUACUUUAAGGUAGUUUAAUUUCUGAUGACCUCUUAUGGCAUUUUAUGGCAGAAUAGCAAACUGUUGCAAUCGACGCAGUUCUGAACAUAAACUCUUGGCAGAAGCAACAAAACCAUUUUUAAAUCAAUACUUUGUGACAAAUUAUAGAUUUCUUUAGCCACACAAAAAUGUACCAUGAUUGGAUAAAUUAAAUAAACCCUGAAAAGCUAAUGCAGGACCCCGACACAAAGGUUUAUAAUAUAUAUCCCAACUGGUCCAGCCACGGGGUCCAGAUUUCUCCUUAGUCAUUAUUUCAAGGUCCACACAGUUUAAUACAUUCGGCAUCAUACUUGUGUUUGGCCAUGUCAUCGAACUAGUUUGCUGUCUCUGUCAAGUAGCUGUCUGUUAGUCGCUCAUUCUACAGCAGGAAAUGGCACUGUCAAAAAUUCACUGUACUUAAAAAUAAAAUGUGUUUUUUACAAAGUCGA